rnacentral:snRNA from 1 species
CGACUCUGGUUUCUCUUCAUUACGCACAAGCCUUUCGCCUUUACUAAAGACUUCCGUGGAGAGGAACACUUACGAGUUCAACGUAUUUUUGAAGGGCUUUGUUUUCUGGCAGAGCC